rnacentral:lncRNA from 1 species
UCUCGUCGGUCGUCGGUCGUCGGUGAAGAUGGAAACCCUAAUUUCCGUCACUGGAGAAGAAGAGGGGUCGUUGGUCGAUCUCUUUUUUUAAUUUCCGCAACUGGUCGAGGCUGUCGAGCUUUUCUUAAAACUGCUCGAUCGAUUUUUUCAAGAAAUCGAUCGCUUCGAUCGAUUUGCUCGCUUCAAAUCGCCUCGCUUUUCUUUGCUAAUCGACCGCUUUUGUUGGUCGCGUCGCCUGAAGGAGUAAAAAGCGAUAGGGUUUCACGUCGCCUCGCUUCGCGCUUUAAGCGACGAAGCGAGCGCCUUUUAAAACACUGGGGCAGAGAGGCUGUUUCGUCUAUUGCCACGUCCACAUCCAUUGAUACCUUCACGGUAAUAAUUUUGUCUUCUUUUGUAAUUUCUUACAAACUUCAUUAGAGUUAUAAUCAAACUUUGUUGUCUUUGUCUGUAUAUAAAUCAAAUCAUAGAAUUUCAAGAAUUUGAAAAAGAAAAGUAAAUUACUUACCUUAAAUCCAGAAUUGAAAAACUACAUCAGACUUAAACAAAUUUAAGUCUAUGAUUCAACAUAAUAGUUUCCUAGUAAUAAGAUCAAAUCAAAUCAUAGAGAGCAACCAUACAUCCUUAGGCAGAACUUUUAUUUAAGAAGCAUCAAGUUAGCUCUUGCAAUCCUAAGAUAUGGUGUUUAAGUGAAGGACAGAAACUUAAGUAUAAAAUAAAAAAAUCUACGCAUACACAAAGUUAUUACUUAUUUGGUUAAGCCUAAGUCAUAGUAUCUAUUUGACACAAUAUUCUAAACAAGUUCACACAUAUAAUAAUCCUACAUACAGAUUAUCUAGUGCAUAAAAAUUCUGAUACAAAAUAGAGUUAAGCACAUAUUAAGGUUCAAGAGACGUACCCGAUUGAAACUUGGCAUGCUUUCAAUGGAAAAUCGCACGACUGGCGACUGUUGUUAUCCUGAUACAAAAUAGAGUUAAGCACAUAUUGAGGUUCAAGAGACGUACCCGAUUGAAACUUGGCAUGCUUUCAAUGGAAAAUCGCACGACUGGCGACUGUUGUUAUCCUAAAUUUAUAUUAAAAAGAGAUUAAGAAAACUUACAACUAUGUUUCCCACAACUAUCAGUUGCAAUUUCUUUCUCGCUAAUGGAAUCUUAAUUUUCUCAAAAGAGAUUCUUGAGAUAGUAGAGCUUCGUGCUGAUAACGUGUUAUAAAAUAAUACAAGAACAAGAACAAUAUUGCAGAGAAAGUAGGGAGAGGAGANNN